rnacentral:lncRNA from 1 species
CUUCAUCAAGAUGUCUUAAGUGGGUGAAGAUGAUCUCAUUUAGCAGAUGAGGAGAAAGAAAGAGAGCUUCGUACAACUGUUUCAAUGACAAAGAAUGGAUCCGAUUUAAAAUGAUCCUUCCAGAUCAGGCUCAAAUGGUGGUGACACACUUUCGCUGCAUGGGCCGAGAAUGGGUUUAGAAUCGUUUCUCGUAUCAACAGUGGCUCCCGUUUUCCAAGGUGAAUAUAAGAACAAAGAAUAUCCAAGCAACAACUAGACUAUUCAGACUUGAGAUUCAUACUCAUAUCAUUUUCUCCAUAUUGGCAGGUAAGAUCACAGGCUUUCUGGAGGCAUUACAGCACACUUCAUGGGCAGCGUACGCAAUUGUAAUUUGACUUGUCAUUUUUCUUAAUUUAGAG